UUUUCCUUAAUAGUAAAAAAAUAAAUAAAUAAUAGUGUUUGCCUAUUAGUUGAACAUUGAAUGAUACAUUUUGUAAAAGGACCAUUUCUAGACUAUAAAUGAAAUACGAGUAUCAGACUGUUUUAGAUUUUAUUUUAUUUUCUUUUAUUUUUUUUUGAGAUGGAGUUUCGCUCUUGUUACCCAGGCUGGAGUGCAAUGGCGCGAUCUCGGCUCACCGCAUUCUCCGCCUCCUGGGUUCAGGCAAUUCUCCUGCCUCAGCCUCCCGAGUAGCUGGGAUUACAGGCACGCACCACGAUGCCCAGCUAAUUUUUUGUAAUUUUAGUAGAGACGGGGUUUCACCAUGUUGACCAAGAUGGUCUCGAUCUGUUGACCUCAUGAUCCACCCGCCUCGGCCUCCCAAAGUGCUGAGAUUACAGGCUUGAGCCACCGCGCCCGGCCUUGGAUUUUAUUUUUAAUUUAUAAGUUUUGAGCAUCAUGUGCUAGUAUUUAACAGAAAACCUUUAGAAUAUAAACACUAUAAGCAGGCCACUGCUUAAUAAGGUAGAUUUUCUGACAAGCUUGAAAAUAGAAGUUUUUUUCUAUUUCUCUUCCAGAAGUUUAUCAUUCUGUAUUUGUUCCUGUGUGUGCACAUAUACAUUCUGAUUCAGACACACAUGCACCAACAAAGCUGAUAUUGUAUGGAUAUUAAUUGGUUAUUUCUUAGAGUUUGGAUACAGUUUACAUCUGCUUAUUCAAGAAAGGGGGAUAGAAGGGAAUCACUUGGUUAAAGUUGUCUGCACUGUAAUGUAUACAAGUCUUCUGUUUUUCAUAUUCACACUCAGGACUGCUCCAACAUGUUUUCAUUGAACUUGCCUCAACCUCAAAACUCCAAGUGCCCUGUGACUUUUCAUUCAGACACAUGAAAGGUGGGAGUUGUCAGGAUCACCUAGAUAGAUACAUGCAUAGCUCUCACAAGCAACAUCAAAUGUUCAGGUUCAGAAAGAAGGAGAAAGAUCUCUGUUCAACCUUUCACAAGCAAGCAGGGAGAAAGCCACAUGUGUUAUGACAAUCAUGAAAAAGAAUGGGCAGUUAAGUCUAAGUAGUCACCUGAGGAAGGAUGGUUCUUUGUGGUAAGCCAUUUUCCAUAAUGGAAAAGGUUGGGGGGAUUUCUUAACCACUGCUGUUUUCAGGGCUCAUAUGAAGUUCAAUGUCAACUUCAUGGACUUUCCAUACCUCUACUUAACCUUCUUGCAUUUUCCGGUUUUCUGUAUCUCCUAACAUUAUUUAAACGUUUUAAAAGAGAAGGUGAAAAGUUUUUCUUGAUUGUGCUACUUAAAACUGGAAAGUCUAAAAAUAAAUAUUAUGUCUAACACCA
rnacentral:lncRNA from 13 species